UACGAAGGGGGCUAGCGUUGCUCGGAAUCACUGGGCGUAAAGCGCACGUAGGCGGCUUGUUAAGUCAGGGGUGAAAUCCUGGAGCUCAACUCCAGAACUGCCUUUGAUACUGGCGAGCUUGAGUUCGGGAGAGGUGAGUGGAACUGCGAGUGUAGAGGUGAAAUUCGUAGAUAUUCGCAAGAACACCAGUGGCGAAGGCGGCCAACUGGUCCGGUACUGACGCUGAGGUGCGAAAGCGUGGGGAGCAAACAGG
rnacentral:rRNA from 1 species